AGCCAAUGAUGACUGAAAUGAUAAGAGUAGUGGACAGAAGGGAUUUCUGAAUACUUGAAACACUGAGGCU